GGCAGUGGAGCCGGUCUCAUCCUCACCAAUUCUGAAGGAAUUGUAAUAGAAUAUGUCCUUCGAUUCAAUUUCAAAGCUUCAAAUAACCAAGCCGAGUAUGAAGCACCCAUUCUGAAAGUCUUCAAAGCUUCAAAGUCUUCAAAUAACAAAGCUUCAAAGCUUCAAAUAACAGGAGCUUGACAUUGAUAAUCUGAAAGUCUUCACCAACUCACAGCUGAUUAUCGGACAGAUUAAGAGUGAAUUUGAAGCCCG
rnacentral:lncRNA from 1 species